rnacentral:rRNA from 1 species
CCCUUAGAUGUUCUGGGCUGCACGCGCGCUACACUGAUGCGCUCAACGAGUUUUAACCUUGCCUGGAAAGGUUGGGUAAUCUUUUUAAAACGCAUCGUGAUGGGGAUAGAUUAUUGCAAUUAUUAAUCUUCAACGAGGAAUUCCUAGUAAGCGCGAGUCAUCAGCUCGUGCUGAUUACGUCCCUGCCCUUUGUACACACCGCCCGUCGCUCCUACCGACUGAGUGAUCCGGUGAAUAAUUCGGACUGCGGCAUUGACCGGUUCCCGAUCGUUGCUGCGGAAAGUUUAGUGAACCUUAUCACUUAGAGGAAGGAGAAGUCGUAACA